rnacentral:tRNA from 2 species
GCCCCCGUGGGCGAAUGGUUAAGCCGCUGUUCUUUCAAAGCAGAAAUUGCGAGUUCGACUCUCGUCGGGGGAA